rnacentral:lncRNA from 1 species
GUUCUGCCUGUGGCCCUCAAAGGAAGGAAGUUGCCAGCACAACGUGUGUGUGCAUCCAGAAAUCUCAAAAUCGGCGAAAGUCAUCUCUCUCAGAGGAAAGCAUCACAAGAUAAAACCAGAAGUGAAUGACCUAGUAUUUUUUUAUCUGAGAGUGGUAACAAUCCAUAUUCAUUCUUCCUAACCAUUCGGGAAACGGUGAGCUGCUCUCAUUUAACUGACCAUGGAGCAGAAUCUGCUUCCCCUGCAGUGUGCCAGCUAACAUGCCCAAUGUCUGCUAAAUGGACACAGGGAGAUGCUUGGCUGGUUCCUGACUUGAAGGAUAAAUACACGCUGAGAUGAAACUGACUUCCCGGAAGAAUGUAACUGUCUCUAUUUGGCACAGUUGCCUACUAAUGCUUAAUGAUUCAGAAGUCUUAACUCUGUAAAAUUAGGUUGAAAUUGCCCAAGUGGUGUCCUAAGUUAGUAGUGAAAGGACUGGAACAGACACGAGUACAAGUUACAUGUUCUAGUUCUGUUGGAAAACAGAAAAGAAUUAUCAUAGAAUCACAGAAUGGCUUGUGUUGGAAGGGACCUUUAUGAUUAUCAAAUUCCAGCCCCCUGCUGUGGGCCGGGUGGCCACCCACCAGAUCAGGCUGACCAAAGCCUCCUCAAACCUGGCCUUGAACACCUACAGUGAUGGGGCAUCCGCAGCUUCUCUGGGCAGCCUGGGCCACUGCCUCACCACCCUCUGAGUAAAUAAUUUCCUCCUAACAUUCAAUCUAAAUGUCCCCUCUUUUAGUUUAAAGCCAUUCCCCCUUGUUCUAUCACUGUCUGCACAUGUAAUAUUAUGUUAACAAGACAUCAUUUUAAAGAAGAGCCAUCCUGGGAAGUGGUGAUCAGCUUCUCUCAUGUGUUUUAAGUCAGGGAUCGCUUAUCCAAAAAGAAGAGACAGACUGACUGUUUGAGAAUUUGCUUUAUCUUGCUCAUCAUGUAUAUAUUUUAGUUAGGGACUAAAAUAAAAUAUUUAAGGUAUCAGAAAAACAGGAGGACUUGCAGUGACUGUUUCCCCAACAGACUUUUUGCAGACUGCUCACAUAUGUCAGCGAUACAAAGUGGUGCAUUUGCUGAGGUAAAAAGACUCUGCGCCAGAGGGCUGUAGAACACAUUGCCUCCUCCCUUGGGGCUUCAGGUACCUGCUGCAAGACACUUUGCUAUCCCUUUCCGUAAAUAAUAAAUGCAAUUACUGUUGUUGUUUCCUGGCCUACAUGGCUAGGACUGCUGGGUUUUCAUCUGAGUUAUGGUUUUGAGCAAGCUGAGGAUUUUGGUUUUGAUGAGAGCUUGCUGAUCAUCUGCUGUGUUUAUUCGUGGCAUCAGAUAUUUCCCAAGAUAUGGAUUCUAAAUAUUGUGGUUCACAUUAUGUUUUGAAGGAAAAAAAGUAUACUUAUCCAGAAGAGUUUUUUGAAAACCAAUUUAUAAUUUAUCUUUUUUACUGUUGCUGUCAACAGUCAUCUGUAGUUAGUUUGAAAUGACCUGAAUAUAAUAUUUUUAUUCUAUUUACUAGUUGAGUAAUUUCCAUAGAUAAUUCUUGGUUUAGGAAUUGUUUUGUUUGUGAACUUCAAGCAGGCCAGGUAACUGCCUGUUCCCUGUCCAGCCAAACCCUUCAGGAUGACCUUUCUGUUAAAUCCAGGUAAAAUGUCAAAAACUCUUGUCUUUUGAGUGUUUCUUCAUAGUUGCUUAUGAUGCAUUUUAUUCACCUACUUAGAAAAAGUAUACAGAAAUUGUCAGCACAGUAAAAGUAAACUGGAGUUAUUCAUGCAAAUAACUCUUCGUGGUUUAAAAAAAUGUCGCUUUUUGCAUCUUGUAUUUUGUGCUUAUUAAAUGUGAGUGGAAUAGAUUAGUAUAAUGAAUAUAAAUUUCUGCUAAAACAGUCAAAUGAAGAAGUAGAUGCUUUCUGGGAGAUAUUACUGAGCUAAAUGUGAGGUCCUGGUCUCUCUUAAAGUAUAAAUUGAUUAGACGAUGUCAGACCAGCUGAUGCAGUGGUAUCUCCUCAUUUAAAGUCUUGUGAUUUAUCUAUGCCAUAGAUAUUGUACACACCUCUGUAUUUGAGUUAUGUCUUGCACUUAACUUCUUUGUGGUACUUAGCAUUGACAGGGGAAGAACAUUUACAUUUUAAAGUGAUUUUUACUGUAAGUUAGUGGCACUAUCUGUGUACUCUUGCAGUCUGUCUAUAAAUAUGAGGGUGCUCUAAAGGUAAUGCCUCCUAUUUUAUUAUUUUGGCCUGUGAAAUUGAAAGCAGAUGUCAGUGGAAUGGUAGGAGAUGUUGAACCUUCCUGACAAUAUUCCGUUACGUGUUGUUGCCAUGUGACAGAUGGCAGCAGAGGGGCAGUCUGACAGAAUGGCAUCUGACAUGGAAGAGCGUACGAAGCAAAGGUGUGUCACUCAGUUCCUCUAUGUGGAAACAAUGGCUUGCAGCGACAUUGAAGCUUGCUGGACAUUUGUGGGGACCAAGCAGUGGAUGUGAGCACAGUAAGACAGUGGGUGCUGCGUUUCAGCGGUGGUGACAGUGACAGUGGGUGACCCCCUCUCAUGCAGAUUUAUAUGAGUGCGGCAUGCAGGCUCUUAUUCAUCACUGGUGAAAAUGUGUAGCUAGUGGUGGUGGCUAUGUUGAAGAAAAAGGAUGUUUUAUAGCUGAGAACUUGCUCUAUCAAACAGUGUUAUUCUGCUUUGUGUAUCUGUUGUAGUUUCUGUGGAAAUAAAUAGGAGGCAUUACUUUUAGUUUGACCUACAUAUAAUACCUAUAUGCAGUAGGUACAAAAAUGUUGUGUGUAUUGAAGCUAAGGAAAUAUAUUUGUGGCAUGUUAUGACUAGAAAAAAAGUCACCACUUGAAGAUGCUUAAAGGUUUGGAACACUAGUAUUAGUCCUUGGAGAGAGGAUUGUGGUUAGGGAAUUAUAAAUGCAUGCUAAAUUAAUGAAUCCCACUGCUUUAUCACAUAGCUGAGGUUUUUGAGGGAAUAUUUGCAGAAAAAAAAUUCCCCUUAUUCAUCCACAUACAGGAUUUUCUCUUCAGUGAUACGCCUUGCUUAAUGUCACGGAUACAAAAGAUUAAGUCCUGGGGUAAUAGGUUAUCUGUUUCUAUGCUGUAACUUUCAUUGUGCUUUGUAACUGUACAUCACACAAGGCGAAUAUUUGUAUUAUUUCAUUACCAUUGUGGUUCCAAAUUACCACAGUUAGUAUGUAACUUAAAACCCUCAGCUCUCUCUCUCUAUAAAAACAGUAUAUUUUAGAUAGAUUAGUGGUCUUUUGAUACUGAGUGAUACAAAGAUUCAACUCAACUGAUGUCAGGACAUUCAAAUACCAAGAAUUUAAUACUCCCAAGUUUGAAAUAUUCAAGUCCAGUUUAACUGUCUGGGUUGGACUGUAUCUAACAAAGAGGGAUGGGAAGUACUGAAGUCUCACAGGCACAGAACAUUAGGAACUCACCCUUGGGGGAGAAGAGCCCUUUCUGUGGUCCCUAAUUUUUGCUCAGAGCCUGGAGAAAUAAUCCCAGGCAGAAAGCUCAGGCUGAGGGAGAAGUAUAAUUCAUAAAAAUGCUUUUAAUCUCUCUUUACCAGAAGAAAAAAAAGAAAAGA